GACGAACGCUGGCGGCGUGCUUAACACAUGCAAGUCGAACGGAAAGGCCCUGCUAUUGUGGGGUGCUCGAGUGGCGAACGGGUGAGUAACACGUGAGUAACCUGCCCUGGACUUUGGGAUAACUUCAGGAAACUGGGGCUAAUACCGGAUAGGAGCUCCUGCAGCAUGGUGGGGGUUGGAAAGUUUCGGCGGUUGGGGAUGGACUCGCGGCUUAUCAGCUUGUUGGUGGGGUAGUGGCUUACCAAGGCUUUGACGGGUAGCCGGCCUGAGAGGGUGACCGGCCACAUUGGGACUGAGAUACGGCCCAGACUCCUACGGGAGGCAGCAGUGGGGAACAUUGCACAAUGGGCGGAAGCCUGAUGCAGCAACGCCGCGUGCGGGAUGACGGCCUUCGGGUUGUAAACCGCUUUCGCCUGCGACGAAGCGUGAGUGACGGUAAUGGGUAAAGAAGCACCGGCUAACUACGUG
rnacentral:rRNA from 1 species